AAUCGGCCUACCAUACAAGGGACGUGCUCCCUAAGAUGGUGCCGAGGGAAACGAACCUCAGCAAAUUACUAUUAUAGGAAAGCUGAAACAUCAAGUGUUGGGUGGAGUUUGGUAGGCCAGCAAUGGCUCGAAGAAGUCAGACCCA
rnacentral:sRNA from 12 species